GGAGGGUGCAAGCGUUAUCCGGAUUCAUUGGGUUUAAAGGGUGCGCAGGCGGAAUGAUAAGUCAGUGGUGAAAUCCUACAGCUCAACUGUAGAACUGCCAUUGAUACUGUCGUUCUUGAGUAUAGUUGAAGUGGGUGGAAUGUAUCAUGUAGCGGUGAAAUGCAUAGAUAUUACAUAGAACACCGAUUGCGAAGGCAGAUCACUAACAAUGUACUGACACUGAUGGACGAAAGCGUGGGGAGCGAACAGGAUUAGAUACCCUGGUAGUCCACGCCCUAAACUAUGUCAACUAGGUGUUGGGUGGGUAAAACCAUUUAGUACCGUAGCUAACGCGUGAAGUUGACCGCCUGGGGAGUACGGCCGCAAGGUUA
rnacentral:rRNA from 1 species